rnacentral:rRNA from 1 species
CCUACGGGGUGCAGCAGUGGGGAAUAUUGGACAAUGGGCGAAAGCCUGAUCCAGCCAUGCCGCGUGUGUGAAGAAGGCCUUCGGGUUGUAAAGCACUUUCAGUGGGGAAGAAAGCCUUGGGGCUAAUACCCUCGAGGAAGGACAUCACCCACAGAAGAAGCACCGGCUAACUCCGUGCCAGCAGCCGCGGUAAUACGGAGGGUGCGAGCGUUAAUCGGAAUUACUGGGCGUAAAGCGCGCGUAGGCGGUCUGAUAAGCCGGUUGUGAAAGCCCCGGGCUCAACCUGGGAACGGCAUCCGGAACUGUCAGGCUAGAGUGCAGGAGAGGAAGGUAGAAUUCCCGGUGUAGCGGUGAAAUGCGUAGAGAUCGGGAGGAAUACCAGUGGCGAAGGCAGCCUUCUGGACUGACACUGACGCUGAGGUGCGAAAGCGUGGGUAGCAAACAGGAUUAGAUACCCGGGUAGUC